rnacentral:rRNA from 1 species
AUUGAACGCUGGCGGCAGGCCUAACACAUGCAAGUCGAGCGGUAGAGAGAAGCUUGCUUCUCUUGAGAGCGGCGGACGGGUGAGUAAUGCCUAGGAAUCUGCCUGGUAGUGGGGGAUAACGUUCGGAAACGGACGCUAAUACCGCAUACGUCCUACGGGAGAAAGCAGGGGACCUUCGGGCCUUGCGCUAUCAGAUGAGCCUAGGUCGGAUUAGCUAGUUGGUGGGGUAAUGGCUCACCAAGGCGACGAUCCGUAACUGGCCUGAGAGGAUGAUCAGUCACACUGGAACUGAGACACGGUCCAGACUCCUACGUGAGGCAGCAGUGGGGAAUAUUGGACAAUGGGCGAAAGCCUGAUCCAGCCAUGCCGCGUGUGUGAAGAAGGUCUUCGGAUUGUAAAGCACUUUAGGUUGGGAGGAAGGGCAGUAAAUUAAUACUUUGCUGUUUUGACGUUACCGACAGAAUAAGCACCGGCUAACUCUGUGCCAGCCGCCGCGGUAA